rnacentral:lncRNA from 1 species
UUUCCAGUAUGCCUGACUUCAAUAAUAUGUUCUGCUUUAUGCCAAAAGCCCAGAGGCAUGAAAUGGAUUAGCUCUUGGAAAAUUGGGAGAAAAGUGAGUCUUGGACCCCGGGUGCUCAAGGAUGCAGCCCCACAGCAUAGGCCCCUGGCUCAGAUGUCAACGUGAAGACAAGAAGAAAGGUCAGUGGGAAAACCAGGGAAGCAAG